rnacentral:lncRNA from 1 species
CCCUAAUCUAAAAAUCCAAAACCUGAGAUGCUGCAGAAUCUGAAACUUUCUGAGGGCUGACAUUAUGCCACAAGUGGAAAAUUCUACACGUAAGUACUUAACACACACUUUGUUUCAUGCACAAGAUCAUUGAAAAUAUUGUAUAACAUUCCCUUCAGACUGUGUGUAUAAUGUAUAUGUGAAACAUAAAUGAAUUUCCUGUUUACUUGGGUCUCAUCCCCAAGAUAUGUGAUUGUGCACAUGCAAAUAUUUCAAAAUCUUAAAAAAAAAAAUCCGAAAUCUGAAACACUUUUGGUCCCAAGCAUUUCAGAUAAGAGAUACUCAACCUAUAGAAGCUUCUUUUUAAAUAUGGAUAUAUAUAUGUAUAUAUAAAGAGAAUGUAAUAUAGAUAAGUACAAGUUUAAUGUUUCCUAUAAUAUCGAAUUCCAGUUUAAAAUUUG